rnacentral:rRNA from 1 species
UGGGGGAUAUUGCACAAUGGGCGAAAGCCUGAUGCAGCGACGCCGCGUGGGGGAUGAAGGCUUUCGGGUUGUAAACCUCUUUCGCUAUCGAACAAGGCCCGCUUAGGGUGGGUUGAGGGUAGGUGGAGAAGAAGCGCCGGCUAACUACGUGCCAGCAGCCGCGGUAAUACGUAGGGCGCGAGCGUUGUCCGGAAUUAUUGGGCGUAAAGGGCUUGUAGGCGGCUUGUUGCGCCUUCUGUGAAAACGCGGGGCUUCACUUCGCGCGUGCAGUGGGUACGGGCAGGCUUGAGCGUGGCAGGGGUGACUGGAAUUCCAGGUGUAGCGGUGGAAUGCGCAGAUAUCUGGAGGAACACCGAUGGCGAAGGCAGGUCACUGGGCCAUUACUGACGCUGAGGAGCGAAAGCAUGGGUAGCGAACAGG